rnacentral:rRNA from 1 species
AUGAACGCUGGCGGCGUGCCUAAUACAUGCAAGUCGAGCGAACGGACGAGAAGCUUGCUUCUCUGAUGUUAGCGGCGGACGGGUGAGUAACACGUGGAUAACCUACCUAUAAGACUGGGAUAACUUCGGGAAACCGUAGCUAAUACCGGAUAAUAUUUUUAACCGCAUGGUUCAAAAGUGAAAGACGGUCUUGCUGUCACUUAUAGAUGGAUCCGCGCUGCAUUAGCUAGUUGGUAAGGUAACGGCUUACCAAGGCAACGAUGCAUAGCCGACCUGAGAGGGUGAUCGGCCACACUGGAACUGAGACACGGUCCAGACUCCUACGGGAGGCAGCAGUAGGGAAUCUUCCGCAAUGGGCGAAAGCCUGACGGAGCAACGCCGCGUGAGUGAUGAAGGUCUUCGGAUCGUAAAACUCUGUUAUUAGGGAAGAACAUAUGUGUAAGUAACUGUGCACAUCUUGACGGUACCUAAUCAGAAAGCCACGGCUAACUACGUG